CCUACGGGUGGCAGCAGUGGGGAAUAUUGCGCAAUGGGCGAAAGCCUGACGCAGCGACGCCGCGUGAGGGAUGAAGGUCUUCGGAUCGUAAACCUCUGUCAGCAGGGAAGAACGGUCACUGUGCUAAUCAGCAGUGAAUUGACGGUACCUGCAAAGGAAGCACCGGCUAACUCCGUGCCAGCAGCCGCGGUAAUACGGAGGGUGCGAGCGUUAAUCGGAAUUAUUGGGCGUAAAGCGUUCGUAGGCGGUAUGUCAAGUCAAGGGUUAAAUCCCCGCGCUCAACGUGGGAACGGGUUUGGUAACUGGCAAACUGGAGUGGGUGGGGGGAUAGUGGAAUUCCAGGUGUAGGAGUGAAAUCCG
rnacentral:rRNA from 1 species